rnacentral:rRNA from 13 species
GGACUGAAUACAUAGGUCUUUAAGAGCAAACCCGGAGAACUGAAACAUCUAAGUACCCGGAGGAAAGGACAGCAAUAGCGACUCCCCUAGUAGCGGCGAGCGAACGGGGACCAGCCGAGCCUGAUAAGUGACCAGAACAUGUUGGGAAGCAUGGCCAUAGCGGGUGACAGCCCCGUAUGGGAAGCUUUGAAGGACGUAUCAAGUAGGGCGGGACACGUGAAAUCCUGUCUGAAGAUCGGAGGACCACCUUCGAAGGCUAAGUACUC